rnacentral:rRNA from 1 species
UGAGGAACAUGACCUUCGGCGGGGGAUAGCCGGCCCAACGGCCGGGUAAUACCGCGUACGACCACAUGGGGACAUCCCUGAGUGGUGAAAGCAGCAAUGCGCCGAUGGAGUGCCUCGCGGCCUAUCAGCUUGUUGGUGGGGUCAUGGCUCACCAAGGCGACGACGGGUAGCUGGUCUGAGAGGACGACCAGCCACACUGGAACUGAGAUACGGUCUAGACCUCUACGGGAG